AUGGUUCCUGAGAGAGAUGUUGUCAUUAAUUGUUUUUUUCUUUUCUUUUUUUCAAGAAGCCUCAGAAGACCUUCAAGGAUCCAGUUGACCUCUGAAUCAGCUGUUAAGAAAAUGGGACAGUUAUAUUGCUUCAAUUGGUCUCCUACUUCAUUUGAUUCCACCUUCAUUACAAGGCUGCAAGGGAUCUGGAAAAAUGUCAUCCUGUCAAGCUGAAAAAAACAUCUUCAAAAAGGCACUAACAAGAACAGCUUGAUUGCAGAGAAGAGUCCACACAGCCAUACACGCUCACUGAUGGGAUGAUGAGGAACAUCAUUCAUGGAUGCUACACAACUCAAAUCUACACGUCAUAUUUGUUCAUGUCUAGGUAAAUUUGAUGAUUUUGUGUUUUAUUAAUUACUUUGUUUCUGUGCAACACUUAAUGAAUGUGACUGACUAAUUAACCUCUACACAUCUGGUAUAUGCUUUAAAGUUGCCACUUUGCCCAUUUGUUCAAUAAAUGUUGAAAUGUAUACAUCUGUCUGAAGACUUUCCUGAUUUUAUGUCUAUCCUUUUACAUUAACUUUAUUUUUAUCAUAAUUAACAUUAUUUUUUUUGUUUGCACUGAAAAAGAGGACAUUAUUAAUUACGCUUAAAAACAACAGCAGAGGUGU
ensembl:lncRNA